UACGUAGGGUCCGAGCGUUGUUCGGAAUUAUUGGGCGUAAAGCGCUGGUAGGUGGCUUGUUAAGUCGCGUGUGAAAGCUUCCGGCUCAACCGGAAAAGUGCGCGCGAAACUGGCGAGCUUGAGUGCCGGAGAGGGUCGUGGAAUUCCCGGUGUAGAGGUGAAAUUCGUAGAUAUCGGGAGGAACACCAGAGGCGAAGGCGCGCCUGGA
rnacentral:rRNA from 1 species